UACUGCCAUGGCCCUCCCAGAUCAAGGUGGUUCUCUGGUUGUGGUCCUCACAGCCUCCAGGGGGCGCCCAGGGCGCGUGCUGACCGCAAUGUACCAGCCUGUAAGGAGCUGAGCAGAGAAGACUGGAUCCACUUAGUUCACCUGACUGACUGGCUCCUCUGUCCUAAUUUUGCACCUUUACCUACCUAAGCAUAGCGAGCGAAAGAGGAGCCAGGGCUGCUGGACGCUUGUAUGAGGUGCAUCACUUUCUAAAUUGAUCUCUGCUUUGUCCCACAUUUGUUUGAGACCUUGGGCUUCCAAAAUAAUGCUGGAUCUUUUGUCAGGGUGGAUGGGACCUGCUGGCGGCCAUCGGUCAACGAAGGCCUUUCCGGAAGCGGGGGAAGAGCGGGAAGUCUCUGUACUUGCGUGAAGGAGUAGUGGACACCCACAUACACUAUAGAAGAGAAGCAGAAGUUGAUGCCCAACGACCCACAACAGUGACUAUCCUGUAGGAACUUGCAGCCUUUUUCUUCACAGUCCAAGAAGCCAAGCUCCACCUCUUUCUCGGGGCUUUUUGCCCUGUGCAGUCGCCCUCAGCAUCUUGAGUAUGGCUGACCACCUGUGCGUCCCCCAGCAUGGGUAAAAAGAAAGAAUGAGAGGUAGGGAAAUGGGAAUGUCAAGUUGGGAGGCUAGACAGGGAGUGCUGGCAUCAAUGGAGCCAGCUGAACAAAGGGACCAUUUGCUGGAGGGACACCCAUCUUCCACAAACCUGUCUUCUGAGGUCAGUAGAGAAAGGUAGACUUUUAUCCAUAAAACUAUGGAUGCUUGUCAGGUCAGUGACUUUAAGGACAAGUCAAUGAAACCCUGGGAGUAUUAGUGAGGCAGAAUGGGUACGGCAGAGGCCACAGUCAGUCUAAACAGAGCUAGCCCCCGCCCCCCAGUGGCACACUUAGUAUAUUAUGUCACCACAAAUCCAGAACAAAAACAGUGGAACGCUACUAUCAGAAGUAAGAGCACACCGGGGUGAUGGCUCGUUGAUAAAAUUCUUGAUGCCAAGCCUGAUGAUGUGUGUUUGACUCCCAGGACCCACAUGAUGGAAGGAGAGAACUGUUUCCUGCCUGUUGUCCUCUGACUUCCACAAAUGUGCGUGGCACAUGUGUAUGAACACAUACAAACGGUGGCGCACGCCUGUAAUCCCAGCACUCGAGGAGGUAGAGGCAGGCAGAUCUCUGUGAGUUUGAGGCCAGGCUGGACUACAAAGCGAGUCCAGGACACAGAGAAACCCUAUCUCCAAAAACCAAACCAACCAACCAACCAAAUACAAGCAAAUAAAAACAAAUUACUAAUACUAAUACUAACAAUGGAAUAAAAGGAGAGAACCCUCUCUCAGCCACCUUCAACAGCUCUGCCAACCUCUCUGCUGCCAGAAUGAGCCCCAGGUGCUUUUCAGAGCCCUGAGAUAUGCCAGAGAGUUUUCUCUUACAAAUGAUUUGUGACAAAUCCAUCCAAACUUGCAUGUUUCCCUCUUGUAAGAGAAGACUGAGAGGAAAGAGUCCCUCCCACGUUUCCUUGUGAAGGAGUUGGCAGCUUGGACACAGUGUUCUUUUUCCUUGAGGACUCCUUUUAGUAAGAGGAACACACUUCUUUCCCCUCUUUACUAGAAAAAAAAAAAGGCUGCUGUUCUAAUUUUUUGAAAGCUGAUAUGCCAUCCUGUUUUAAUCAGUAUGCUUAGCUCCAGGGGCAGAGACUCCUGGCCACAUCUGGCCAGGGUUAGCACACCAUCCAAGCUACCUGUCCAGCAAUGUCUAAGACUAUGUUGGGGGCUCGCCUGUGAGGCACAGACAUUUUCCAGAUUCCUGGGCAUUCUCUUACAAAUUACUUGCCUCUGUCUUGGUACCCCAAGGUGACUACUGAACUGAGCACUCUACCAGAGCCCCUUUCCGGAGGAAUUCUCUCAUUUUAGAGCUAAGAGAGGAGAUGUGAAAAAGUUGAUUGACAGACAAAUGUCAGGGCCUCUGAAAGUCAUCACCUUAGGCUAGGCUUGAUGGUACAUGUCUGUUAUUUUAGCCCAAAGGAGGCUGGGGCAGGAGGAUCACAAGAUAAAGGCCAGUCCAGGCUCCAGAGAGAGAUUGAAUAUGACUAUGAGCCAGACAAUGUCCUAACACAGGGUGAAACUGUCCCAGGUCUGACAGUGAAGGCCAAAUCAGAAAGAGCUGAUCACUCUUUCCCUAUAUCUCUGUAUAAACAUCCCCAGAGAGAAAAGCCAUCUCUUCCUCUCCCUGGCUAGCCUCAUGCUGACGCCGUCGUUAAUCACUUCCAAGACACUUGGAACCUAAGGGAACCAUUCAGGGACACCUUCCCUACAGUCAACCCUGACUGGUACCGCAAUGAAGUCUCACCUGACCCAAACUGGUCUUCCAGUACUUGGGGGCCUUUAAGAAGGACAGACAAUGUCGGCUUAUCCAACCCCCCGGAAAUCUGGGAGCCCCAGGACACUCUCCUUUCCGUGUUGAAGUACGGAGGACUGAGGAACAUCUGUCUGGCCACUUGCUCCUUCUAUUGCUCAGCUGGCUAGCAGUCAGCACCUCUCUACUCUACACAGGGCCCAAGCUUGGCAGAACAGACUCAAAGAGAAGCCCAGAAGAAACUGGUAGGCGUGGCUUGUGUCUUGGGGGCAGGACAGAGUAAGGACUGGAGAAGUGAUGUCAAGGUUAAGCUGAGGAAGCCUUUUACGUGGGGCUUCAUCCGAUGAACAGAGCAUGCUCAGAAAAAAGGGUCCUCCGAAUUCAAACAGGAGAGGUAUGAAGUACGAAGGACCGCACGCCGCAGUGGCUGAAUUAUUUUUGCGCUUCUUCCUCAGCACGCUAGUCCAUUUCCAGUCUUGGGAGUAGUUUUUUCUGUAUCGAGCAACUCUUUCUAUUCAAUUCUAACUUAAAUGGAAUGACUUUUUCUCCAUCUCCCCUGUUCCUGGCAGCUGCCGAAGUUUAUAGCUUGCCUGCCCCGUUGUUUCUCUCGAAGUUUAAUAAAAACUGUCCUUAACUGUUCCCCAAAGGGGAACCUCAGUUUCCCUAGUAA